UACGAAGGGGGGCUAGCGUUGCUCGGAUUGACUGGGCGUAAAGGGUGCGUAGGCGGUUCGUACAGUCAGACGUGAAAUUCCUGGGCUCAACCUGGGGGCUGCGUUUGAUACGUGCGGACUUGAGUGCGGAAGAGGGUCGUGGAAUUCCCAGUGUAGAGGUGAAAUUCGUAGAUAUUGGGAAGAACACCGGUGGCGAAGGCGGCGACCUGGUCCGAUACUGACGCUGAGGCGCGAAAGCGUGGGGAGCAAACAGG
rnacentral:rRNA from 1 species